UUUUGUCAUUUGUUAUACCAGGAGACAUUCAGCUUCUCCGUGAAACUUGGAAAGAAUGAAAAGUAAGGCAAAAUUGUGCUUCAGCAGAGAAAUGAAUGAAUUGCAGUUGCACAGAGCAACAUGGAUGGAUCCCGGAAGUAUCAUGUGGAAUGAAAGCAGUAAAUCCCACAAGAUUACCUGGAGUGUGAAUCUUUUACUCACUAAUUUAACGAGAAAAAAUAGUCUAACAGAACACGGAGGAUCUAUUUGAGCAUGUGUAUUUCUGCAGAGAAGAAAGAAGCAUAUUUUGUGAAGAUGGAAUCUGUGUUUACAUGUAGAUUUUUAUAAACCCA